UUCGACUGUUUUACCAAAAACAUAGCUAAUAGAAAAAAUUAUUACUAGUGAUGCCUGCUCAAUGGUCGAACAAUAACAAACAACAACGACUAAAUAGCCGCGGUAACACCUGACCGUGCAAAGGUAGCAUAAUAAAUCGCCUACUAAUUAUAGGAUAGAAUGAAGGUAAAACGAAGACCCAACUGUCUCAAGACCCCCAAUUAAAAAUAGAAUGUGUGUGCAAAUCCACACUAAAACGGCAAGACGACCAGACCCUAAGAACUUUACCCAAAACUUCCACAACAACAAAGUCCUAAGUUUCGUUGGGGCAACGAUCUUUAAAAAAGUAACUAAGAUUCACCAAUCAUAACACAAAACACAAACAAUGACUUCAAACAGAUAAAACCCACUAAUAAAACAAUUAAUGGAAAAAAAUAAAAGUUCCUUAGGGAUAACAGCGUCAUAUCGUUCUCCAGAAAACUUUUCAAACGAUGUUUGCGACCUCGAUGUGGAAUUACRA
rnacentral:rRNA from 1 species